GAUGAACGCUGGCGGCGUGCUUAACACAUGCAAGUCGAACGAGAAGUGAAGACGGAAACCUUCGGGCGGAAGGCUUUAUUUCGAGUGGCGGACGGGUGAGUAACGCGUGGGUAACCUGCCUCAUACAGGGGGAUAACAGUUGGAAACGACUGUUAAUACCGCAUAAGACCACAGCACCGCAUGGUGCGGGGGUAAAAACUCCGGUGGUAUGAGAGGGACCCGCGUUCGAUUAGCCAGUUGGCGGGGUAACGGCCCACCAAAGCGACGAUCGAUAGCCGAUCUUAGAGGCUGACCGGCCACAUUGGGACUGAGACACGGCCCAAACUCCUACGGGAGGCAGCAGUGGGGAAUAUUGCACAAUGGGGGAAACCCUGAUGCAGCGACGCCGCGUGAGUGAAGAAGUAUUUCGGUAUGUAAAGCUCUAUCAGCAGGGAAGAAAAUGACGGUACCUGAGUAAGAAGCCCCGGCUAACUAC
rnacentral:rRNA from 1 species